rnacentral:rRNA from 1 species
CACUCCUGCGGGAGGCAGCAGUGGGGAAUAUUGCACAAUGGGCGCAAGCCUGAUGCAGCCAUGCCGCGUGUAUGAAGAAGGCCUUCGGGUUGUAAAGUACUUUCAGCGGGGAGGAAGGCGAUAAGGUUAAUAACCUUGUCGAUUGACGUUACCCGCAGAAGAAGCACCGGCUAACUCCGUGCCAGCAGCCGCGGUAAUACGGAGGGUGCAAGCGUUAAUCGGAAUUACUGGGCGUAAAGCGCACGCAGGCGGUCUGUCAAGUCGGAUGUGAAAUCCCCGGGCUCAACCUGGGAACUGCAUUCGAAACUGGCAGGCUAGAGUCUUGUAGAGUGGGGUAGAAUUCCAGGUGUAGCGGUGAAAUGCGUAGAGAUCUGGAGGAAUACCGGUGGCGAAGGCGGCCCCCUGGACAAAGACUGACGCUCAGGUGCGAAAGCGUGGGGAGCAAACAGGAUUAGAAACCCCAGUAGUCCC